rnacentral:rRNA from 1 species
GAAAAACUCGGUUUAUUUUUCUAAGCACCUCCCUAAGCAUCUCCCAUUGUACAUGCCUUAGGAGCUCCUGCUGUAGAUGCUCUAAGCGAGUCCCUACAAAAUGCAUUCAUGCUUUCUUCCGUCGCUGUUUUUUUUUAGAAGAAUACUGCAUUAAACCUUAUCCAGAAACGGAUACAGAUGUAGCACAGACGCAGCAUCGUCGAAAGACCCCGAGAGACCACACAUGUCCCAACACACAUGCGAAAAGACCCCCCAAAGAAAGAAAAAUACAAUGAGGACCCUGGGGGGCCAAUCCACAAAUGAAACCAUCUCCUGCAGUCGACUGCCGUCGUCGUCGAGACGAACGCCAGAGGAAAAUGCAGAUAUCCAGCAAACCCUUGACCGGGGAUACACCAUUGCCGGAAACGGCUUUGUGAGUCGAAUAUGAACCCCGCCGCGAACGGUGAGGCGUUGCCGCUGUGGCGCGUCGACCGGGGAUCAUCCCCAUGCACCUCGGCCGCAGCUCCGGCACCUCCAUCCGAUGAAGUCGAAGGAGAAUCUCCAGAACUGCAGCCACGAGCCACCAUCCGAGCAUUGGGCCACCAAAUCUCUCGCCAGCCGUCGCGGCCACCAUCGGGAUGACCAUCGCCGGCCAAAGCACUCCUGUACAGGACUCCACCGGCUUCUCAUCGACACCGGAGAACGUGUCGACGUGGCAGAGACGAAGCCGAGGAAGCAAAACUCCUGAUUUGGUCGACAGCGCCGCCUCCUCGACCAAACCCGAGCACACCAAGCCCGCCGCCGCGCACGCCGGCCAGGCCAAAUCUAACCUCACCACCCAAGACGAGCGGCAGGAAUCUACGCCGAUGGCCCAUCGAUCCCGUCUGAGAAGACGAGCUCGAGAUGGAGUGAGCCCCGGAAGAACAAAACGCCGACGAGACGCAGCCUCCAACCAAGCGGCGUCCCCGCGAAAACGCACCCAAGCUGCAGCCGCCACCGACGACGGAGCCGGCGGGCCAGAGCAGCGCCAGGACGAAGACAUACUCGCGUGCAGCUCCUCCAUCGCCUCCCGAGCCAGAGCCAAGGACGACGCCGGCGAGCGCCCAACCAGAUCGAGCGCUCGAUUCGGAGCACACACAAGCAGCAGACCUGAAGCCGCCACCAGGGACAGGCCGACGAGACCACGCAGCACCCGAAACACACCAAAUCGCGGACGUCUCCGCCACCCACGCCGCCCGGCCGGAGCCAAGCGCGACGCCGAGGAGCUCGCCCCGACAGCAAAAGCCUAGCUACAGCCACCAAACUAAGCUAUAUGUACAGCCCACCCGAGGAUCUGGGCCCCCGUCACCUCACGACGCCGACGAGGGCGACGGAAGCGAGGGGGCCCGACGAGAUCGACGGCAGGAGCUCAGGCGCCGAGGUCGCCAAACGAGUCUCCUCUCCGAUCUACUAUAGCGGGAGGAUAAGGGAGAGCGUGAAACGUUGUGGUACUUCCUCUCGAAGAUUCGGCGACGGCAAGUGGGCAUGCCACCGUCUUCCUGGUUAUAGGUGCAUGGCCGGCCGUUCCCACAGGAUGAGGAGUCUCUG